GCGUUGCUGAGGAGUCCCAUAAUAGAACGAAACGGCUGUCCAGUGC
rnacentral:hammerhead_ribozyme from 1 species